rnacentral:lncRNA from 1 species
AUUUUCAACCGAGAAGUUGUGAGUUCGAGUCUCCCCAAGAGUAAGGUGAGAAGUUCUUGGAGGGAAGGAUGCCGGGGAACAAGAUUCUAUAUAUGUGUGUGUGUCUACUUCCAACCCCCACUUCCAACCGAGAGGUUGUGAGUUCGAGUGUCCCCAAGAGCAAGGUGGGAAAUUCUUGGAGGGAAGGAUGCCGGGGGUCUAUUUAAAAACAGCCUCUCUACCCAAGGGUAGGGGUAAGGUCUGCGUACAUACUACUUUUCCCAGACCCCACUAAAUGGGAUAUUGUUGGUUCGAGUGCUACUAAAUAACAAAAGUAAAAAACAACCACAACGGAUCUUAAGAACUACAAUAACAA